rnacentral:rRNA from 1 species
CUACGGGAUGCACCAGUGGGGAAUAUUGCACAAUGGGCGCAAGCCUGAUGCAGCCAUGCCGCGUGUAUGAAGAAGGCCUUCGGGUUGUAAAGUACUUUCAGUAAGGAGGAAGGCAGUUGCGUUAAUAGCGUAAUUGUUUGACGUUACUUACAGAAGAAGCACCGGCUAACUCCGUGCCAGCAGCCGCGGUAAUACGGAGGGUGCGAGCGUUAAUCGGAAUUACUGGGCGUAAAGCGCAGGCAGGUGGUUUGUUAAGUCAGAUGUGAAAGCCCUGGGCUCAACCCGGGAAUUGCAUUUGAAACUGGCAAGCUCGAGUACUGUAGAGGGGGGUAGAAUUUCAGGUGUAGCGGUGAAAUGCGUAGAGAUCUGAAGGAAUACCGGUGGCGAAGGCGGCCCCCUGGACAGAUACUGACACUCAGAUGCGAAAGCGUGGGGAGCAAACAGGAUUAGAUACCCCAGUAGUC